AACUAGCCCCGAUGGGAACGGCAUCCUUUUUUGUUUUCUUAAUUCUCGCUUCGAUUAAAUGACAAAUGUUGUGAAAACAAAAAAGAUAUAGUGAACAGCGGGAUAAAGC
rnacentral:sRNA from 1 species